GACGAACGCUGGCGGCGUGCCUAGUACAUGCAAGUCGAGCGGAAGUUGGAGAGCUUGCUCUUCAACUUUAGCGGCGGACGGGUGAGUAACACGUGGGCAACCUGCCCUGCAGAUCGGGAUAACUCCGGGAAACCGGUGCUAAUACCGAAUAGUUUUCGCCACCUCCUGGUGGCGUACGGAAAGACGGUUUCGGCUGUCACUGCAGGAUGGGCCCGCGGCGCAUUAGCUAGUUGGUGGGGUAACGGCCCACCAAGGCGACGAUGCGUAGCCGCCCUGAGAGGGUGAUCGGCCACACUGGGACUGAGACACGGCCCAGACUCCUACGGGAGGCAGCAGUAGGGAAUCUUCCGCAAUGGACGAAAGUCUGACGGAGCAACGCCGCGUGAGUGACGAAGGUUUUCGGAUCGUAAAACUCUGUUGUGAGGGAAGAACAAGUACCAAUUAACUACUGGUACCUUGACGGUACCUCACCAGAAAGCCACGGCUAACUACGUGCCAGCCGCCGCGGUAAUAC
rnacentral:rRNA from 1 species